rnacentral:lncRNA from 1 species
AAAAACUAUAAACCAUUAUAUUUUAUAAAAGUAAAAAAGCCACGACUAAAUAAAUUGUCUUAAAGCAAUGGCAAUUUUCAUCGGACUGAUAAAAUCUUCCAUUCAAACUACGCUGUCGUAAUUACGCUUUGACACAUGACUUUAAGCCUAACCGACGAAAAUUUCAAACAUUUCUUCCGUAAGAUAACAAGUUGAAUGGAGCCUCAUCGGCCAUACCUUUGAAUUGUACACCUCUUUACAGCUUCCGCUCUGACCGCGCCACGUACAUACUGGUUGGUUUGGAUGUUGGGCUGACAAUCUCUUCUUCACAUAGGGUGGAUUUAGGAUUAAAGUUGCAUAAAAAUAUAAGAUUAAAAUAUUUGUUAAAUAUUAAUCGUUGUAUUUUAAAAAGUAUAUUGAUAUAUUUUUUAUUUAUAUAAUAAAAAUUUUAUUAUAUUUUUAAUAAUUUUAUUUAAAUUAUUAUUUAAAUUUUCUAUUUAUAAUAUAUUAUUAAUUUUUAUUUUAUAAUUAUAAUUUUUUUUAUAUAACAUCUGUAGUUUAAAAAUUAUAACACCUCAAUUAUAAUUCUAAACAGGUAAGUAGUUUGCAGAAAGUGAUCGUUUUGUACCUGUAAUUCCUCCCGCAAUGCCAUAUCCAUAUACAAUUUUCCAACUCCUGGACUCUCUUUUUCCUCGCUUCUAGUUCUCUGUAGGAAGCAGCAGCCU